GGCAUACCAUUUUUUAAUGCCGAAAGUUCCAGACAUUGACUACGAUGAAUCGUAGGAGAUUCAUAAUAAGCAACAAGCUAUGCAUUGCUUGAUCACGUAUAUGAAGGCAAUUGUCAUAAUAAAAAAAACGCAAUAAGUGUGAAAGAAAUUAUCAUAAUUGACUGCAUUAUAAUUCCAAAAAUAGCAAAUUAAGAAAAUAUCGCCGAAAAAUCCUCCACAAUGAUGACGAAAAACUCGGAAACGGCAAUUCUCUUUGCACCAGCUCAGGGCAGAAAAUGGAUAGUACGUGACAUUGCGAGCUCUAAUCGGUUAAGGAUCACAAAAGACAACUAUUUGCCAAAAAAAGCUUAAAUAUUUAAAUCUACCAAAGAGAACAGAAGUAACUGAACUACAAGGCAUUUAUUCAAAAUCAUUAUAUCAGCCGAAAUAUAUCUAUUUAAAAAGGCUUAUUGAUCCGAUAAAAGGAAUAAAUCUUUAUACAUUUAGUGAAAACGUUGAUGUUAUCAAGCCCACUGAAGCCAAAGCGGACUCAAUUUUUAUAUUCGAUGAUGUAAUAAAUAUAUUGGGAGUUUGCAAAUGUAAAGUAAAUAAGCCGAGAUUCCGAUUCCUAAGCGACGAAGUAUACCAAAUAAUGUCGACGCACUAAUUUUUCCAAAAUUGGCGAGUGCGCCAGACAUCACGUUUAAAUGGGAUAUAGAACAAUGGAAAAACUAUACCAUAGCUGAUCUGAACUUCAAUAAGUCGGAUCGAAUCACCGUUAAUGAGGAGAAGGUAUAUUUAAGAAGGAUUUGAUCUACCUGGAUUCGCAGAUGCUUCAGAGAAAGCUUACGCAGCAGUAGUAUAUGCUAAAGUUGGAUCGGUUAUAACAUUAGUUGCUGGUAAAACCAAAGUAAAUCCAAUUAAAAAUAAGAAGACCUGGCCAGGCCGGGAACUAUGCGCAGCUCACCUACUUGUUAAAUUACUACAACGGAUAAAAACAGUUAUCAACAGAGAUGUUAAAAUAUUUGCUUGAAGCAAUUCAUCUAUAACGGCAACACGUUGAAACAAAUUACAAUCCAGCCGAUGUAGCAUCCAGGAAGGUAUUCGCAAACAAACUGGUAGAUCACGAUCUUGUAUAGUAGAGAGGUCCCAAAUGGUUACAAGAAGAAGAACAUCAAUGGCUAGCACAGAAGAGUUUUAAAAUCGAUUCAUUGUAUGUUACGACACCAAAAUAAUCUAAUUUCUUCGAUAAGGUAAUAUCAAAAUAUUCUAGUUUAACCAAAUUAAUAAGUGUGACUUAUAUUUGGCGAUUUGUAAAACGAGUAAGAAGAUAAAUUGUCUUACAUAUAAUUGGUAAUAAAGUCAGAAAUUAACAAGUAA